GUAGGUGGCAAGCGUUGUCCGGAAUUAUUGGGCGUAAAGCGCGCGCAGGCGGUUCUUUAAGUCUGAUGUGAAAGCCCACGGCUCAACCGUGGAGGGUCAUUGGAAACUGGAGAACUUGAGUACAGAAGAGGAAAGCGGAAUUCCACGUGUAGCGGUGAAAUGCGUAGAGAUGUGGAGGAACACCAGUGGCGAAGGCGGCUUUCUGGUCUGUAACUGACGCUGAGGCGCGAAAGCGUGGGGGAGCAAACAGGAUUAGAUACCCUGGUAGUCCACGCCGUAAACGAUGAGUGCUAAGCGUUAGGGGGUUUCCGCCCCUUAGUGCUGCAGCUAACGCAUUAAGCACUCCGCCUGGGAGUACGGCCGCAAGGCUG
rnacentral:rRNA from 1 species